rnacentral:rRNA from 1 species
AUUGAACGCUGGCGGCAUGCCUUACACAUGCAAGUCGAACGGCAGCAUGAUCUAGCUUGCUAGAUUGAUGGCGAGUGGCGAACGGGUGAGUAAUACAUCGGAACGUGCCCUGUAGUGGGGGAUAACUAGUCGAAAGAUUAGCUAAUACCGCAUACGACCUGAGGGUGAAAGUGGGGGACCGCAAGGCCUCAUGCUAUAGGAGCGGCCGAUGUCUGAUUAGCUAGUUGGUGAGGUAAAGGCUCACCAAGGCGACGAUCAGUAGCUGGUCUGAGAGGACGAUCAGCCACACUGGGACUGAGACACGGCCCAGACUCCUACGGGAGGCAGCAGUGGGGAAUUUUCGACAAUGGGCGAAAGCCUGAUCCAGCAAUGCCGCGUGUGUGAAGAAGGCCUUCGGGUUGUAAAGCACUUUUGUCCGGAAAGAAAUGGCUCUGGUUAAUACCUGAGGUCGAUGACGGUACCGGAAGAAUAAGGACCGGCUAACUACGUG